CCCCCGGAGCACCUGCGCUGGCCCCAGGAUUGGGGGAAAGGGGCAGGGCUUGCGUCGGCUCCGCCGGGGGUAGGACCUAGCAGACUCCUUCUUAGUGGACUGGAGAGAGAGACUCUCUUUUGCUGGCUUUGAAACAAAUAAGCUGCCACAUAGAGGACCUAUGGAGAAAGUUACAUGGCAAGGACUUCACCUCUAGGAGCAAGAGAGCAGCACAAACUGAUAACCAGCAAGAAAAUGAAGACCUCAUCCUGAUUAGGUCAAGCAAUUGGAAGCAGAUCUUUCCGCAGUUGAGCCUCCGAUGAGACAGCAGCCCUGGCUGGCACCUGGAUUAUAGCUCAGUGAGACGGUGGAGCAGAGGGCCCCCCUAAACCAUGCUUGGCCUGGAUCCACAGAAACCACGAAACAAUAAGUUUUAAGCUACAAAGUUGGUGGUAGUUUAUUAUGUAACAAUAGAAAACUAUUACGAAUACAAUGUUUACUAAAGUAUACAGUAAUAAAAAUAUCUUAACUGGAA